rnacentral:misc_RNA from 1 species
GAUCUCCUCCUUGGUAUCCACCGCUACCUCCACGAUCUCCUCCAUGGUAUCCACCUCCACCUCCUCGAUUAUGGGAGCUACCACCAUAGCCUCCACCUCCACCUCCUCGACCUCCGCCACCUCUACCGCCGCCACCGUAUGAUCCGCCACUGCCUCCGUAACCACCACCUGAACCACCAUAUCCUCCGCCACCCGAUCCAUACCCACCGCCUCCUCCGCCACUUGGUGGCGGAGCAGAUCCGCCGCUUUCGUAACCGUACGUACCGGCCAUCGACUGCACUAGCUAGGGUUUAUGAAUGAGAGAAGAAAAGAUAAAGUAAAAUACUAUAUGGGGAUAGAAGGG